rnacentral:rRNA from 1 species
UACGGAGGAUGCGAGCGUUAUCCGGAUUUAUUGGGUUUAAAGGGUGCGUAGGCGGAGCGUUAAGUCAGUGGUCAAAUUGAGGGGCUCAACCCCUUCCCGCCAUUGAAACUGGCGCUCUUGAGUGGAAGAGAAGUAUGCGGAAUGCGUGGUGUAGCGGUGAAAUGCAUAGAUAUCACGCAGAACCCGAUGCGAAGGCAGCAUGCCGGCUUCCUACUGACGCUGAAGCACGAAAGCGUGGGGAUCGAACAGGAU